rnacentral:rRNA from 1 species
CUUCCAUCUGGAGAAUCUGGAGACAGGUGCUGCAUGGCUGUCGUCAGCUCGUGUCGUGAGAUGUUGGGUUAAGUCCCGCAACGAGCGCAACCCUUGCCUUUAGUUGCCAGCAGUUCGGCUGGGCACUCUAAAGGGACUGCCGGUGUUAAACCGGAGGAAGUGGGGAUGACGUCAAGUCCUCAUGGCCUUUAUGACCAGGGCUACACACGUACUACAAUGGCCGAUACAAAGGGCAGCGACACUGCGAGGUGAAGCCAAUCCCGUAAAAUCGGUCUCAGUCCGGAUUGGAGUCUGCAACUCGACUCCAUGAAGUUGGAAUCGCUAGUAAUCGUGGAUCAGCAUGCCACGGUGAAUACGUUCCCGGGCCUU